AUACCGUGAAACUGCGAAUGGCUCAUUAAAUCAGUUAUCGUUUAUUUGAUAGUACCUUACCACUUGGAUAACCGUGGUAAUUCUAGAGCUAAUACAUGCUAAAAACCCAGACUUCGGAAGGGGUGUGUUUAUUAGAUAAAAAACCAAUGCCCUUUCGGGGCUCUUUGGUGAUUCAUGAUAACCUAACGGAUCGCAUGGCCUUGCGCCGGCGACGGUUCAUUCAAAUUUCUGCCCUAUCAACUUUCGAUGGUAAGGUAUUGGCUUACCAUGGUUUCAACGGGUAACGGGGAAUUAGGGUUCGAUUCCGGAGAGGGAGCCUGAGAAACGGCUACCACAUCCAAGGAAGGCAGCAGGCGCGCAAAUUACCCAAUCCCGACACGGGGAGGUAGUGACAAUAAAUACUGAUACAGGGCUCUUUUGGGUCUUGUAAUUGGAAUGAGUACAAUUUAAACCCCUUAACGAGGAACAAUUGGAGGGCAAGUCUGGUGCCAGCAGCCGCGGUAAUUCCAGCUCCAAUAGCGUAUAUUAAAGUUGUUGCAGUUAAAAAGCUCGUAGUUGAAACUUGGGUCUGGCUAGCGGGUCCGCCUCACCGCGUGCACUUGUCCGGCUGGACCUUUCCUUCUGGAGAACCUCAUGCCCUUCACUGGGUGUGUUGGGGAACCAGGACUUUUACUUUGAAAAAAUUAGAGUGUUCAAAGCAGGCCUUUGCUCGAAUACGUUAGCAUGGAAUAAUAGAAUAGGACGUGCGGUCCUAUUUUGUUGGUUUCUAGGAUCGCCGUAAUGAUUAAUAGGGAUAGUCGGGGGCAUCAGUAUUCAAUUGUCAGAGGUGAAAUUCUUGGAUUUAUUGAAGACUAACUACUGCGAAAGCAUUUGCCAAGGAUGUUUUCAUUAAUCAGUGAACGAAAGUUAGGGGAUCGAAGACGAUCAGAUACCGUCGUAGUCUUAACUCGUAAACUAUGCCGACUAGGGAUCGGGCGAUGUUUCUAUCUUGACUCGCUCGGCACCUUACGAGAAAUCAAAGUUUUUGGGUUCUGGGG
rnacentral:rRNA from 1 species